rnacentral:rRNA from 1 species
CUACUCUUGACAUCCAGAGAACUUAGCAGAGAUGCUUUGGUGCCUUCGGGAACUUUGAGACAGGUGCUGCAUGGCUGUCGUCAGCUCGUGUUGUGAAAUGUUGGGUUAAGUCCCGCAACGAGCGCAACCCUUAUCCUUUGUUGCCAGCGGUUAGGCCGGGAACUCAAAGGAGACUGCCAGUGAUAAACUGGAGGAAGGUGGGGAUGACGUCAAGUCAUCAUGGCCCUUACGAGUAGGGCUACACACGUGCUACAAUGGCGCAUACAAAGAGAAGCGACCUCGCGAGAGCAAGCGGACCUCAUAAAGUGCGUCGUAGUCCGGAUUGGAGUCUGCAA